rnacentral:tRNA from 1 species
CUGUAGCUCAGUUGGUAGAGCGCUCCGGUUUAAGCCGGAGAGGUCGUCGGUUCGAUCCCGAUCAGCCCCA